rnacentral:rRNA from 1 species
GAUGAACGCUGGCGGCGUGCCUAAUACAUGCAAGUCGAACGUAUAGCGAAAGGUGCUUGCACCUUUCAAGUGAGUGGCGAACGGGUGAGUAACACGUGGACAACCUGCCUCAAGGCUGGGGAUAACAUUUGGAAACAGAUGCUAAUACCGAAUAAAACUUAGUGUCGCAUGACACAAAGUUAAAAGGCGCUUCGGCGUCACCUAGAGAUGGAUCCGCGGUGCAUUAGUUAGUUGGUGGGGUAAAGGCCUACCAAGACAAUGAUGCAUAGCCGAGUUGAGAGACUGAUCGGCCACAUUGGGACUGAGACACGGCCCAAACUCCUACGGGAGGCUGCAGUAGGGAAUCUUCCACAAUGGGCGAAAGCCUGAUGGAGCAACGCCGCGUGUGUGAUGAAGGCUUUCGGGUCGUAAAGCACUGUUGUAUGGGAAGAACAGCUAGAAUAGGAAAUGAUUUUAGUUUGACGGUACCAUACCAGAAAGGGACGGCUAAAUACGUG